rnacentral:rRNA from 1 species
ACGAUAACCUUGCGAAAGUAAGACUAAUACCCAAUGAUAUCUCUAGAAGACAUCUGAAAGAGAUUAAAGAUUUAUCGGUGAUGGAUGGGGAUGCGUCUGAUUAGCUUGUUGGCGGGGUAACGGCCCACCAAGGCGACGAUCAGUAGGGGUUCUGAGAGGAAGGUCCCCCACAUUGGAACUGAGACACGGUCCAAACUCCUACGGGAGGCAGCAGUGAGGAAUAUUGGUCAAUGGGCGAGAGCCUGAACCAGCCAAGUAGCGUGCAGGAUGACGGCCCUAUGGGUUGUAAACUGCUUUUAUAAGGGAAUAAAGUGAGUCUCGUGAGACUUUUUGCAUGUACCUUAUGAAUAAGGACCGGCUAAUUCCGUGCCAGCAGCCGCGGUAAUACGGAAGGUCCGGGCGUUAUCCGGAUUUAUUGGGUUUAAAGGGAGCGUAGGCCGGAGAUUAAGCGUGUUGUGAAAUGUAGACGCUCAACGUCUGCACUGCAGCGCGAACUGGUUUCCUUGAGUACGCACAAAGUGGGCGGAAUUCGUGGUGUAGCGGUGAAAUGCUUAGAUAUCACGAAGAACUCCGAUUGCGAAGGCAGCUCACUGGAGCGCAACUGACGCUGAAGCUCGAAAGUGCG